AGUGGUUAUGGAAAAGGGGUACCCUUGAGCAGUUUUCGCCAUCACGUUUGAAUCGAGUUGGUUUGAUAGGAUACAAGUUUUCUGCUGAGGACCGCUUGCUGCUGUUUUUGUUGUAGGAUUCUCAUUAGCAGAUGAUGGUGAAAGUGAUGAACAAGUGGUUCUUGUGAGUCAUAGUGGGGACUGUGAUAGAAUUAAGGUCCGGCAUAUUUCAAUACAAUCUCGAUUUGCAAGGGGAGUUAUUUUGAUGCGGCUUGAUCAUGCUGGAAAGAUCCAGUCGGCUUCCUUAAUUUCACCAUCGGAGGGUGAGCCUGAGGAGGUUGAAGCAAUUGCUCAAGCCUAGUUGUUGACAGUCUGAACUGUAGUUUUGCCCUUCAUGAAAUGCUGUUGCUUGAUCCUGAAGCAAGUGCAUGGAGAGUUAACAUUGCAGUUGAUAUUGAAGAUUCUUCAUGCGUCUGCAUAUAUUAUUUUCUGCUGGGAAGGGGAUGAGGAGGGUUUUCGGAUUACUUUCAUGCAGGUGGCCGAAAGGGGAAAGAAAAGUUGGAAAUUACCUGUAAUAUUGUUAUUAGUGUAAAUCUUAUCAGAUUGCUGUAAGUUAUGACCGUACUAUGCUAUUGACAGUUUAAGUUAGCUGACACUCGAAAGGGAUAAAAAAAAAAAGUUUUGAAUCACUAAAUUACAUGAGUCAACCCUUUCACUUCA